rnacentral:lncRNA from 1 species
CUCUGUCGCCCAGGCUGGAGUGCAGUGGCACGAUCUUGGCUCACUGAAACCGCCGCCUCCCAGGUUUAAGCGAUUCUCCUGCCUCAGCCUCCAAGUAGCUGGGAUGACAGGUGUGUGCCACCAUGCCCAGCUAAUUAGAGAUGGGGUUUUGCCAUGAUGACCAGGCUGGUUUCAACCUCCUGGUCUCAAGUGAUCCACCCGCCUCAGCCUCCCAAGGUGCUGGGCUUACAGGCAUGAGCCACCGUACCGGACCCCUUCACAGAACUUUAACCAAUAAAUUUA